rnacentral:sRNA from 1 species
AGCAAAAUAGCGCAUGAAAAAACCGCCCGGCUCGGGCGGUUUUUUCAUGCGCUUAUUGGCAGAGC